CAGUAGCCACGGUAAUACGGAGGGAGCUAGCGUUGUUCGGAAUUACUGGGCGGAAAGCGCACGUAGGCUGCUUGGUAAGUUAGAGGUGAAAGCCUGGAGCUCAACUCCAGAAUUGCCUUUAAGACUGCCGAGCUAGAACGUCGGAGAGGUGAGUGGAAUUCCGAGUGUAGAGGUGAAAUUCGUAGAUAUUCGGAAGAACACCAGUGGCGAAGGCGGCUUACUGGCUCAUUCUAGACGCUGAGGUGCGAAAGCGUGGGGAGCAAGCAGGAUUAGAUACCCCCGUAGUCCCUGUCUCUUAUAC
rnacentral:rRNA from 1 species